AAACACAAUUGCUAGCCUCCUCUCAGAUCGCCGGAAGUGAUUCUGUCCGCCAGUUUGCAUCAGAGUAAUCUGAAGAGAACACGUCGGCAUACUCAAACAGCCCGUCGUUAAAAAUAACGUCGCCAUCACCGGCCUCAGGCCUGGCCUCAAAGUCAUAGAAGCUCGGCUGGAUCUCGUCACCAAACCCCCAGAUCUGAUCGUAACUAACCGCCUCCACCUCCCCACCACUACCGAAGUUCUCCGCCUCGCUACCAACGUCACCGGCAGGUGACGGAACGGUAGGCGGGAGGCCGAGUUCGUCGUCGGACGCUUCUAACAGAUAACCCAGAUCCGGCGGCUGGAAAUCGUCAAUAAACGCUUCCGGCUCCACCAGAUUCGGGGCUAUCUCCGCCGAUAUGGACUGUGGGAGAGAUAUCUCGUCCUCAAGACUUUGCAUGACGCCGGCGAGCUCCUCGACGGCGGAGUCCUCCGACUCAGCGUCAUCGUCAUCCUCAAGGAUGUCAAGGAGGAUAUCAG
rnacentral:misc_RNA from 1 species